GAUGUCAUUUUUGUUUUACAGCUGCUGCUGAGGGCAAAGGGAAAAGUGGGGAAGACUUUUUUCAGAAGAUUAUGGAAGAAACAAAUACACAGAUUGCUUGGCCAUCAAAGUUGAAGAUUGGAGCAAAAUCAAAAAAAGGUUUUCCUCUUCUCCACCUUGGCCUUCACCUUCUCCCUUGAAAUCUGAUUACUUUUCUGUUCAAUUUGCCAUGCCUUCUGUUACCUCUCCCUUGUCUUGCCUCCUUUCUUGUACUUUCAGAGAAGUCUUUUCUUCUGUCACUGGAUCAGAAAUCCAGUCAUCAAUAGUUUUACUCCAAAAAUGAUAAAUUGUACAGGUAAUCUAUUUUUAAGCUUAUCUGAUAUUUCUGGCUGAUUGUUAUUUAAUUUUAGGCCUUCAGAAAUUUUAAUAUCUGGUGUUCUGCAGUGACACUUUGAAGGCUGUGAGAAGAUGUGAAUGCAGGAUUCAGCUGUGAUUUGAUGUAUAUGUGCACCUAGUUUUAUUCAUUUAUGAGGUUACGUCAAACAGCUUUUACUUGAGGUAGCCCAUUUACAUUUUUAAGGUCAUCUUUUAAACUACCCUAUAUAACACACGAAGUCAGAGGAACAAGAUGUCAUUUCUCAAUUCUACAAAAUGUUAUACAAUGUUUCUUCAGUUCUUUGCUUUUGUGGAGGAAGACGGUGUCAAUGUUGCUUUACCCAGUCUCUGCUUCAGAAAUCUGGAGUUAUGUGGACCCAUCCAUGUACAUGUGUUUCUGUGUAUGUAUGUGUAUUUCUUUUAAAUGCUGGGGAGAAGUAAGGAGGAGAUGGUAGGCUUUACCACCAUACGCCGUUACAGUGUGCAGGACUGAAAGGUGAUGCUCUGAUAUCUAAUGCUCCUCAGGUGACUAAAUAGCAGUAACCAAAAUGCAAAAUGAGUCAAGGGUUGCAUGUGAACUGCUUUCCCUGCAGCUGUGGCAGCAGCUUUCCAACUUCCUUUUCAUUCUGAGUAGAACAGAAGUCUUUAAGAAGGUUUAGAGUUAAACGCUAGUAAGAGGGAAGAUGAGAGUCAAAAUAUACAUAUCAUAUAAAAAUAUAUGAGAAGCAAGGGCCUCUCAAGUAUGCACAUACAUAUAGGCACUGGUUCUAGCUUUUCACAAGAGCAUUUCGUUAUCAUCUGUUCAUCCACAAUAGAUCCUCCA